UGGGGAAUUUUGGACAAUGGGCGAAAGCCUGAUCCAGCGAUGCCGCGUGUGUGAAGAAGGCCUUCGGGUUGUAAAGCACUUUUGUCCGGAAAGAAAUCCUUGGCUCUAAUACAGUCGGGGGAUGACGGUACCGGAAGAAUAAGCACCGGCUAACUACGUGCCAGCAGCCGCGGUAAUACGUAAGGUGCAAGCGUUAAUCGGAAUUACUGGGCGUAAAGCGUGCGCAGGCGGUUUGCUAAGACCGAUGUGAAAUCCCCGGGCUCAACCUGGGAACUGCAUUGGUGACUGGCAGGCUAGAGUAUGGCAGAGGGGGGUAGAAUUCCACGUGUAGCAGUGAAAUGCGUAGAGAUGUGGAGGAAUACCGAUGGCGAAGGCAGCCCCCUGGGCCAAUACUGACGCUCAUGCACGAAAGCGUGGGGAGCAAAACAGGAUUAGAUACCCUGGUAGUCCACGCCCUAAACGAUGUCAACUAGUUGUUGGGGAUUCAUUUCCUUAGUAACGUAGCUAACGCGUGAAGUUGACCGCCUGGGGAGUACGGUCGCAAGAUUAAAACUCAAAGGAAUUGACGGGGUCAUAGCUGUUUCCU
rnacentral:rRNA from 1 species